ACCUGCCCUAUGAAUAAUUUAUUUUUAAAUGGCCGCGGUAUUUUGACCGUGCAAAGGUAGCAUAAUAAUUAGUUUCUUAAUUGGGAACUGGAAUGAAUGGUCGAACGAGAAAAAGACUGUCUCAAUUUAAUUUGAAUUAGAAUUUUAUUUUUAAGUAAGAAAGCUUAAAUAUACUUAAAAGACGAGAAGACCCUAUAGAGUUUUAUAUUGAUUAGUAUAAUUAAAAGUUAAAGUAUUAUAGAUUUAAUUAUAAUAAUUAAGUAUUUAAUUGGGGCGAUUAAAAAAUUUAAUGAACUUUUUUUAGAUUAAACCAUUGAUUUAUGAAUAAAUGAUCCAUAUUUUAUGAUUAAAAGAUU
rnacentral:rRNA from 1 species